rnacentral:rRNA from 1 species
CACCGCGGUUAUACGAGAGGCCCAAGUUGAUAGCCCCCGGCGUAAAGAGUGGUUAAGAGAACUCCAAAACUAAAGCCGAACGUUCUCAGGACUGUUAUACGUUUCCGAGAAUAAGAAGCUCCACGACGAAGGUGGCUUUAACAUAUCUGACUCCACGUAAGUUGGGGAA